rnacentral:rRNA from 1 species
GAUGAACGCUGGCGGCGUGCCUAAUACAUACAAGUCGAGCGAACAGACGAGGAGCUUGCUCCUCUGACGUUAGCGGCGGACGGGUGAGUAACACGUGGAUAACCUACCUAUAAGACUGGGAUAACUUCGGGAAACCGGAGCUAAUACCGGAUAAUAUAUUGAACCGCAUGGUUCAAUAGUGAAAGACGGUUUUGCUGUCACUUAUAGAUGGAUCCGCGCCGCAUUAGCUAGUUGGUAAGGUAACGGCUUACCAAGGCAACGAUGCGUAGCCGACCUGAGAGGGUGAUCGGCCACACUGGAACUGAGACACGGUCCAGACUCCUACGGGAGGCAGCAGUAGGGAAUCUUCCGCAAAGGGCGAAAGCUUGACGGAGCAACGCCGCGUGAGUGAUGAAGGUCUUCGGAUCGUAAAACUCUGUUAUUAGGGAAGAACAAAUGUGUAAGUAACUAUGCACGUCUUGACGGUACCUAAUCAGAAAGCCACGGCUAACUACGUG